UAAGUUGGAUGUGAAAGCCUACGGCUCACCGUAGAACUGCAUCCAAAACUAUUUAGCUAGAGUGUGGGAGAGGAAGAUGGAAUUAGUUGUGUAGGGGUAAAAUCCGUAGAGAUAACUAGGAAUACCAAAAGCGAAGGCAAUCUUCUGGAACACUACUGACGCUGAGGCGCGAAAGCGUGGGGAGCAAACAGGAUUAGAUACCCUGGUAGUCCACGCAGUAAACGAUGAAUGUUAGUCGUCGGGUAGCUAGUCUAUUCGGUGAUGCAGCUAACGCAUUAAACAUUCCGCCUGGGGAGUACGGUCGCAAGAUUAAAACUCAAAGGAAUAGACGGGGACCCGCACAAGUGGUGGAGCAUGUGGUUUAAUUCGAAGAUACGCGAAGGACCUUACCUAGCCUUGACAUAUUUUAGAACACUUUAGAGAUAGAGUGGUGCCUUCGGGAGCUAAUAUACAGGUGCUGCACGGCUGUCGUCAGCUCGUGUNGUGAGAUGUUGGGUUAAGUCCCGCAACGAGCGCAACCCUCGUCACUAGUUACUAACGGUUCGGCCGAGGACUCUAGUGAGACUGCCUUCGUAAGGAGGAGGAAGGUGAGGACGACGUCAAGUCAUCAUGGCCCUUACGGCUAGGGCAACACACGUGCUACAAUGGCCAGGACAGUGAGACGCAAUACCGCGAGGUGGAGCAAAUCUAUAAACCUGGUCUCAGUUCGGAUUGUUCUCUGCAACUCGAGAACAUGAAGC
rnacentral:rRNA from 1 species